GAUGAAGAACGUAGCGAACGUGCGAAACGUAAUGUGAAUUGCAGAAUUCAGUGAAUCAUCGAAUCUUUGAACGCAUCUUGCGCUCCUUGGUAUUCCGAGGAGCAUGCCUGUUUGAGUGUCAUUGAAUUCUCAGAAACCCCCUUCCUGAUCUUUCAGCAAGUGGGGUUUGGAUUGGUGGAGGAUGCACUGCUGCCUCUAUUGGGGGGCACUUUUGCUGCUCUGAAAUGGAACGGUGUUGUGGCACAAACCGGUCGUUGGUAUGAUACUCCUUACCAGCUGCCAAUCUGUGCCUGGGUGCACCAGGCAAAUGGCAAUCAAUUGUUGUCUUUUGUAGACAAAUUUGACCUCAAAUCAGGCAGGACUACCCGCUGAACUUAAGCAUAUCAAUAAGCGGAGGA
rnacentral:misc_RNA from 1 species